GGCAGCGUGGCUUAGUGGAAAGAGCCUGGGCUUGGGAGUCAGAGGACAUGGGUUCUAAUCCCAGCUCUGUCA
rnacentral:tRNA from 1 species